CAGAGCACUUGGCAGAAAUUCAAUGAUGCGCGGGUAAAUGGCGGGAGUAACUAUGACUCUCUUAAGGUAGCCAAAUGCCUUGUCAUCUAAUUAGUGAUGCGCAUGAAUGGAUGAACGAGAUUCCCACUGUCCCUACCUACUAUCCAG